rnacentral:rRNA from 1 species
UACGGAGGGGGCAAGCGUUGUCCGGACUUACUGGGCGUAAAGGGUGCGUAGGCGGCCUGCUGCGUCGGUGCUGAAAGCGCCCGGCUUAACCGGGCGAGGCGUGCCGAUACGAGCGGGCUGGAGCCUUGGCGAGGGUGGCGGAACUCCUGGUGUAGUGGUGAAAGUGCGCAGAUAUCAGGAGGAACACCGGUGGCGAAGGCGGAUCUCUGGGCCUUACCUGACGCUCAGGCGCGAAAGCUAGGGAGCGAACAGG